UACGGAGGAUCCAAGCGUUAUCCGGAAUCAUUGGGUUUAAAGGGUCCGUAGGCGGCCCUGUAAGUCAGUGGUGAAAUCUCACGGCUCAACCGUGAAAUUGCCAUUGAUACUGCAAGGCUUGAAUUAUCGGGAAGCAACUAGAAUAUGUAGUGUAGCGGUGAAAUGCUUAGAUAUUACAUGGAAUACCGAUUGCGAAGGCAGGUUGCUACCGGUGGAUUGACGCUGAUGGACGAAAGCGUGGGGAGCGAACAGG
rnacentral:rRNA from 1 species